CAAACCAAAGCUGGCGACCGGCGCACGGGUGAGUAACACGUAUCCAACCUGCCUCAUACUCGGGGAUAGCCUUUCGAAAGAAAGAUUAAUAUCCGAUAGCAUAUAUUUCCCGCAUGGGUUUUAUAUUAAAGAAAUUCGGUAUGAGAUGGGGAUGCGUUCCAUUAGUUUGUUGGGGGGGUAACGGCCUACCAAGACUACGAUGGAUAGGGGUUCUGAGAGGAAGGUCCCCCACAUUGGAACUGAGACACGGUCCAA
rnacentral:rRNA from 1 species